GGCGCUGUGGCACGGCGUCAACAUGCCGCUGCUGUUGUCGGCCGUGAUCCUCGGAGCCGGCGCGGCGGCGUUCGUGCUGCGGCACCGCCUC
rnacentral:tRNA from 3 species